UGGGGAAUAUUGGACAAUGGAGGGAACUCUGAUGCAGCGACGCCGCGUGAGUGAUGAAGGAAUUCGUUUCGUAAAACUCUGUUCUAUGGGAAGAAAAGGACUGUACCAUAGGAGAAAGCUCCGGCUAAAUACGUGCCAGCAGCCGCGGUAAUACGUAUGGAGCGAGCGUUGUCCGGAAUUAUUGGGCGUAAAGGGUGCACAGGCGGCUUUACAAGUUGGAUGUGAAAUAUUGUGGCUCAACCACAAACGUGCAUCCAAAACUGCAAAGCUUGAGUUAAGGAGAGGUAAGUGGAAUUCCUGGUGUAGCGGUGGAAUGCGUAGAUAUCAGGAGGAAUACCGGUGGCGAAGGCGACUUACUGGACUUAAACUGACGCUCAGGCACGAAAGCGUGGGGAGCAAACAGG
rnacentral:rRNA from 1 species